CAGCCGCCGCGGUAAUACGUAGGUGGCAAGCGUUGUCCGGAAUUAUUAGGCGUAAAGGGCUCGCAGGCGGUUUCUUAAGUCAGAUGUGAAAGCCCCCGGCUCAACCGUGGACAGGCGGUGGAAACUACCAAGCUGGAGUAUGGUAGGGGCAGAGGGAAUUUCCGGUGGAGCGGUGAAAUGCGUUGAGAUCGGAAAGAACACCAACAGCGAAAUCACUCUGCUAGGCCGACACUGACAUUGAGAGACGAAAUCUAGGGGAGCGAAUGGGAUUAGAUACCCGGGUAGUCCCUGUUUCUUAUAC
rnacentral:rRNA from 1 species